AAGUCGUAACAAGGUUUCCGUAGGUGAACCUGCGGAAGGAUCAUUACUGAGUGAGGGCCCUCUGGGUCCAACCUCCCACCCGUGUUUAUUGUACCUUGUUGCUUCGGUGCGCCCGCCUCACGGCCGCCGGGGGGCUUCUGCCCCCGGGUCCGCGCGCACCGGAGACACUAUUGAACUCUGUCUGAAGAUUGCAGUCUGAGCAUAAACUAAAUAAGUUAAAACUUUCAACAACGGAUCUCUUGGUUCCG
rnacentral:misc_RNA from 2 species